GGGAAGGAAACGCACAAACGGGAGAGUGAGAGAGAGAGAGAGGAAGAAGAAAGGAGAAAGAGAGGGAGUUAGGCUCGGAUCUAGGAGUCUUUGCGACCGUUGCGAGCUCGGCUACACGAUAGAAAAUUGUUGGUGGAACUUAUUGAGAAGUAAGGAACAAGCCGAGCCCUAUUUUGUACAAGGGGAACCCUUUUAGUACCAAAGGGUUGAGGUCCAGGCGAAGGAUCCAGUGGUGGACGGGGAAAGGAGCAAAGCUA